GGUCAAAAAUUGGGGUUUUUGGGGUUAAAAAUUGGAUUUUUUUGGGAUUUAAAAUUGGGGUUUUUGGGUUAAAAAUUGGUUUUUUUUGGGGUUAAAAAUCGGAUUUUUUUGGCUUUCAAAUCGGAUUUUUUGGGUUAAAAAUCGGAUUUUUUUGGGUUAAAAAUCGGAAUUUUUUGGGGUUAAAAAUCGGAUUUUUUGGGGUUAAAAAUGGGAUUUUUUGGGGUUAAAGAUCAGAUUUUUUGGGGUUAAAAAUGGGAUUUUUUGGGGUUAAAAAUCGGAUUUUUUGGGGCUAAAAAUCGGAUUU
rnacentral:lncRNA from 1 species